UACGAAGGGGGGCUAGCGUUGCUCGGAAUCACUGGGCGUAAAGCGCACGUAGGCGGCUUACUAAGUCAGGGGUGAAAUCCUGGAGCUCAACUCCAGAACUGCCUUUGAUACUGGUGAGCUUGAGUCCGGAAGAGGUGAGUGGAACUGCGAGUGUAGCGGUGAAAAUGCGCAGAUAUCAGGAAGAACACCCGUGGCGAAGGCGGCUCUCUGGGACGGUACUGACGCUGAGGCGCGAAAGCGUGGGGAGCAACAGG
rnacentral:rRNA from 1 species